rnacentral:lncRNA from 1 species
ACAUGUGCCAUGGUGGUUUGCUGCACCUAUCAACCCGUCAUCUAGGUUUUAAACCCCGCAUGCAUUAGGUACUUGUCCUAAUGCUCCCCCUCCGCUUGCCCCCCACCCACCGAUAGGACCCGGUGUGUGAUGUUCCUCUCCCUGUGUCCAGGUGUGUUCCCAUUGUUCAACUCCCACCCCUGGACACUCGCUUUUUCACCCUCCUGCCAGCUUUUCUGCUUAGACCUGGACACAGAGUGCAGCGGGAAACUUUCAGCUCUCACACAUACCUAUCAAGCAUUUAUUGAGCUCCUGUGAACACAGACACUCCUGCUCUCUCCAGGAAGCGCUCCCGGCUCAGGGCGCCUUGGGUCCGUGGCGCCACCUGCUGUUCUCGCGGCGCCAGCGCAGUCUGCGAGGCCGUCCCAGCUCUUUCCACCCGAGCGCGAGGUAGACGCCGGGGCCACCCGCAGCACGCAGAGCUUCUGGGAGCCGGUGGCAAGGCCGAAUUGGGAUGCAAACCAAAUGGACGUGGGUGACUGGCAGAAAACGCCUCCCACAAAUGGGAGGGAUUUCGGAGGGAACCGAAAGAAAGUUGGAAACCAAGUUACAGCUGAAGCCAGGGCCUUCUCCUACCCGACUCCCGCGGCCCAUUAAAACCUACGUGAGCUUAUCUGAUACCUUCAAGCCCUGUUUUGUGGCCCCAUCUCCUCUUCAGAUGGCAAUGUGCCUAGCUACACUACAUUUCCUGCCUCCCUUGCAGCUAGAGGUGGCCAAUGAGAUAUAAACAGAUGCUGUAAGACAUGAUGUCUAGAUCCCUAGCAGUCAUCCCAGACCAUGAGAUAACUUUGAGAAGGAACACCAUGUACAAAGGACUGUGCAGAAGAGGGUUGGCAGGAGCCUGGAUCUCUGAUGACUUCACCCUUGACUGCCCACCUCACCAGGCUGUACAAGCCACUGUUACUGGCAGAUGAAUGCAAGUUCUAAAACAUACAACUACUGACCUACUGAAUUUUCCAAGGAGCACAUUUCCACUGGAGACAUUUGGUGCCUGCAGAAAAUACUUACUGAGGAAUUUCUAUGGGACCAGCCUGAAGUAGAAGCCACUGAAGAGAGGCCCUGAAGCAGCUUUUCUUCCUUAUCCCAGAGACCAACAUGGUUACCCCAGCCCAGAGUCACCCUCCUUCCUCUAAGCUGUCAAAACCCUGGCUGCCUUUACAAUGAUUCUGACAAUGAAUCCCACCCUGCUGGUGAUGUCUAUUGCUUUACUGUUAAACUUUUUAAGGGUUAAAAUUCCUUUUUAUUUUUCUUUUUAAAUUGAUUAAUAAUAGUUGUACCAAUUUGGAUGGUACCUGUAAUAUUUUGAUACCUACAUACAAUGUGUGAUGAACAAAUCAGAGUAAUUGGGCUAGCCAUCACCUCACACAUUUAUCUAGGGCUGAAAUCCCUGAAGGACAGGAUUGUGUCUUACAAAUUGUGUAUUCUAAUCUGCAUUUACAUUUCAGAAAUUCUGGACUAAGUAGGCAAACCAACAGAAACUCUUGCUAUGAAGAUCUGGAGGUUUCCUGGAGGAAGUGGUGAAUAGGGCCUUGGGACUGAUGUUAAAAGCCCUGGAACACAAUAGGGAGACUCCUGAACUAGGAAGAAGUCAAAAGCUCUGGUAGCAGCCCCCACAAAUUAAGAAACCUACUCAGAGUAAAAGAAACAGGCCAUGGUGGGUGGCCGGGGAGCAAGGAAUAUUUGUGAGUAACCCCAGAUGGUGGCAAUCAUUUAAUGCCCUCCAUCCCUCUCAGUGUAUAUUAGGUUAUGUUUUUUUUUUAGAAAAUGGAGGAAGGGUUUUACUAUGUUGCCUAGGCCAGUCUCAAACUCCUAGGCUCAAGCGAUUCACCUGCAUUGGCCUCCUAAAUUGCUGGGAUUACAGGCAUGAGCCACUGUGCCUGGCCCAAGAAGUCUGAGCCAGACGUUGCUGCAUAGGUCAGAACUCUGUGGGCUAUGAAUGUAAGAUAUUCACGAGUCACAUCUAUUCCAUUCAUUGGCAAACACUUACCUGAAACCAUACAGCAAAAGAGAUUCUGGAAAAUGUACCUUCCAGCCUUAGAAGAAAGUGAUGGUGGUGCCCAGUUGACCCCAGGCAAGCCGGCCCAGGAAUGCAGACAUUUUGGACUGCUCAUCUUUUACUACUUUGUGUAGCCUUUCACAGAAGAAUUACACAAGAACUUGACUCUUGAUUCCAAGGAUUCUGGAAGAAUGCCAACCAAACUGAAGUCUACAAGCCUAACCAUGUUAUGAAAAGGCUGGAUGUGACAUGGUGAAUCCUCCUUAGAUGUGUUAACUAGGGUUAGGGUACCAGUGACAUGCAAGGGGUUGGCCAUUUGAUUAAGUAGAGGAGGCAUGAGUGAAAGCAGCACACCUCCACCCUGCUCAAUGGCCAUCAUCACCUAGCCAGGCUGUGAGCCUCCAUGGAGUGGGUAGCUGAGAACCCACAACCCACAAUAUAUCUUCUUUCUGGCCCUGUUAACAUGGACCUGUCUCUAUGAGGUGAUGGUUGAUAUCCAGCUAAGUAUGGCCCUCUUAAUAGUAAUGUGGGUGGCUUUAUUCAUAUUGGCUUCAUGAUAAAUGGUAUCACUGAGCUGACUUCUCUAUGUUUUAGAUAAAACAAAAAUAAAAGACAAAAAAAAAAAAAAGAAAAAAAGCAAAAUGACACAGGCAGUCUUGCUGCCAGACACAUCUGCAAUCAGAAAGCUUGGAAAAUUAGACUUGGAAAUGGCUUGAAAAAACCUUUAAACUUUUUCUGAAGAGCAAGUACAGGUUUGUCUCUGGGGUCAGUUCUAAUUCUUUGACCAGCUAAUUUUAAGUGGCUGUAUCUCGAAAAAAGUGACAGUGACAUUUUGGUACUCCAGCUGAACUUUUAGAUUAGUCACUGAUACAACUGCAACUUUUGGCCUAUUUGAAGGAUUUUAAGGGCAGGAUAAAUAACAAAACCCAACAGUCUUAGCCUGAGUUUCCCAGAAAUCAGAGCCUGAGACAAAGGCUUGCCUUUUAAGAUUAUCUGAGAAUGUGAUCUUAGGUAGCAAGAGUACAGGGUAGGGGAGUGAUCAGGGAAGGAGGGAAAGCUAAUGCAACAUGGAUUAUUACGUUGUCUACUACUAUGGACAAUUGUUCAUGUGGACUAUGCUGUGGACUACCAUAUGGACUACCACUAUCACUAUGGAUACAAGUCCUGCUUGGAAUUUUUGGGGAGAUUUAUGGAAAGUACUAGAGAACUGUUUGUCCAAAGGACCAAAGAUGGAAACAUUUAUCCAUUGGCUCCAGGUCCCCAUUGGUCAAGGAUGACUUGGUUGCAUUUCUAAGUAAUGUAUGCUGAGCACAGAGCAGAUUCAAGUGGUUGCCCUGAGCUGCAGAUACCUCUGGGCAGGAAAUGAGAGAUACUCAGUGCAGACCUAGAGUGAGACCCGUGAUCUGAUUGCACCAGCAUAGAGAUGGUCAAAACCUAGGUGGAAGCAGUUUCUUCAGUUGUAACUGGAGAUAGAGGUGGGAUUGAGAGGAUUUUAAAAAGGGGCCCAGGAGUUAUCUAAAGCACCAAACAGUAAGUAUACAUUAACUAUGUUCUGGGUGUUGGGCACAAGCAUGGGAGGUAGAGCAGUGACAUGAUAAAGCCUUUACUCUUCCCCAAAUAUCUAUACUUUCUCUAAUAUAAAAAAUCUUAAGUAUAUGAAAAAUAUCACAUUUAUUAUAAAAUGUAAACUGCAAUGACAUCUGAGAGAGUUAUAUGUUGAAAUUUAAAUUCACAUUGAGAUAUAAAUGUUAGAUACAGGUAUUUUACCCCAAGUAAGGCUUUACUAGGGGAAGGAGGAAGUGCACAAGAAUUCUGGGAGUCUGAUGUAGUUGUGAAUCAAAAUUUCCAAUCCUUAUAUAUAUUUUUAUUAUCAGCCUUGCUUUGCCUAGUGCCUAUAAUCGUGUGAGAACUUGCCCUGUAGCCCCCCAUGAGUGGCCCUUUUCCCUAGUCAUCCUUCUUUGGCUUUAGCCAUGAGGAGCCUGAUGUGAGGAGAGAACUCAGCAAAUAUUUAAGUAAAUAUUUAUGGAAUGACAUGAAUGAAUACAAAGUUAUAAAUAGAACAUUAUCUUAUUCUACUCCUGGACUAGAUGUACGACCAAACAAACUAGAAUAGAUUUUGCAUAGAUUAAAUUUCACCUUUCUGACCUCCCCAAGCAAGUGCUUCUCUGUUUUUUUCCAGACCACCAUGUAUAUUCAGUAGCUGUAGCCCUUAUUUUCUGUUUUAGUUAUUCAAAGCUUGCUGGAAUAUGAGCUCCUGAAGGGCAGGGGCCAUUUCUUAUUAAUCUUUCUGUUGUCAGUACUGAGCAAAGUCUACGGUGCCUAGAAAUGUUUAAUUAAUGAGAAUCUGAAUCAAGACUAUAACCAUACAACCUCAAUAAUGCAAUUAAAAUGAAGAAUCUGUGGAAUAAAAUGACUGAAAAGCAUACCUUGGGAAUACAUAUCCCAGCUGAGAGACUAUAGGCAAGUCACUGAAUUUCUGUGUCUCAGUUUCUCCAAGUGAAAAAUGAGAGACCAAUCAGGGUUAGAGGAUAUGUGAUGUGCAUACUGUCACUCUGUUUUCUGUGUCUUGGUUGACAUUUCUAAUAAAUCAUGACUUUUCUUCACACUGAU